GAAAGAAAAUGUGUGCUUUCAUUUCAGUGGGAAUAAUGGAGUCUUGGCAUGUCAAACACCAGGCAGCAGCUUCACUGUUAGGGACAACAUGGUGCAACUACCACAGUAAGCCAUAAUGAUGGAAUAGUAGUCAAACUGCUUUGAUCUGCUGUGCCCUCUGGCAAGGGCCAAUUGAUGAUGGGAUCCUGAAAAAUCAUUAAUUCACUGCUUCCUAAGAUGCCGAUUGACAUAUGGAGGCAGAACAAAAUCUAGGUAUUAGGCAGAAACCUUACUCGAGUUGCCAAAUUGUGCCUUGUACCUAAUUCCCAGACCUAAGUCAGUUCAGAGACUCAGCCCCUCUGAGAGGGAAAUUUCCCUCUCAGAUGGAUAUCAUGACUCUUCCUUCAAGCCAGUGUUUCUCAACCUUGGCCCUACGGACAUUUUGGGCAGCGUAUUUCUUUGUUAUGCAGGCUAGCCUGUGCCUUAUGGAUCUGAAAAUGAUGCUGACCAUGACAGGAAGAGGAUGACUAUACUGCAACCCACUUGGGCGUGACUGUAAAAGACUGCUGAAGGGAAAUCCUCCCAGAGGACAGAACCUUUGGUGAUAUAUCCCAUUGUUUACUUCAUGGCUUAAGGCACAAAGAUCUCCAAUGACUUAUGAGCUGUGGCUACUGGACUGGCUGGCUGGUUGGAGACGAAAAAAAUAAUUGAAAAAUUGGUGCUUAGGUGGACUAUGCAUGGACCUUUUGGAAUGGACCCAGAGGGUGGGAAUAUUUGUGUGCCGCAUGUAUGUCUAGUAGAUGGUAUCACGAUGGUGGAGGUUCUCAAAAAUCAGAUAAUCAUGAUAAUCUAUUUUGUGAAUGUCAGUAAGCUUCUUUCUCGAGGUAUCCCAGUGCUUGUUUAGUGGCUCCAUGUGCAAACUGUGCCAGCACGGAAGGAAGUUACCUGUAAGCUAGUAACAUAGUUUUCCCUCACCAAGGCUGCUCCGACUAUACCUACUGCUGAAUGUCCCAUUGACUAACAGCCGAAGUCAACACUAAGCCACCGAUAAGGCACUAUUGUCCAGGGUGACCAGAUGGCCACCUAGUAGUAGCUGCUUGUGUGGACUCUUCCCAACAUAAAAGGAACAUCCCUUUAUCCUCUCAGGAAUAGCUACAUAUUCUGGACAAAAUUUUGCACUGUGGCUGAGUGCUGUGGUUCACGCCUGUAAUCCUAGCACUUUGGGAGGCCAAGGAGGGCAGAUCACCUGAGGUCAGGAGUUCAAGACCAGCCUGGCCAACAUGGCGAAACCCCCAUCUCCACUAAAAAUACAAAAAUUGACUGGGCGUGGUGGUGGACAACCUGUAAUCCCAGCUACUCAGGAAGGUGAAGCAAGAGAAUCACUUGAACCCAGGAGGCGGAGGUUGCAGUGAGCCAAGAUCAUGCCACUGCACUCCAGCCUGAGCAACAGAAUGAGACUCCAUCUCAAAAAAAAAAAAAAAUUGCAUUGUAUUCCCUGCCUGCAGAGCUUCUACGAAUACCACUAUUAUGAAGUUACAGAAUGCCUUAUCUGUUGCCUUAGUAUUCCAUAUAAUGUUGUCUCUGAUCAUAGGCAUAUAUUAUGGCAAAAGAAGUCUCAUGUUCUCAAAAUUCAGUAUAUACCUAGAUCUUGCAGAAGCAGCUGGCUUGAUAGAACAGUGAAUUGGCCUGCCUAACGCUCAAUUAUAGUGUAAGUGGGGAAACCCUGCAAGGUUGAAAUGUUGUCCUACAGGAAGGGGUAGAUGCAGUAAACCAGCAGUCAAUAUUUGCAGAUACCAGCAACACACGGAGGGCAGGUGUGGUGGCUCAUGUCUGUAAUCUCAGCACUUUGUGAGGCUGAGGCAAGUGGAUCACUUGAAGUGAGGAGUUUGAGACCAGCCUAGCCAACGUGGUGAAACUCAAUCUCUACCAAAACACACAAAAAUUAGCUGGGUGUGGUGGUCUGUGCCUAUAGUCCCAGGUAAUCGGAAGUCUGAGGUGGGAGAAUUGCUUCAACCCAGUAGGUGGAGAUUGCAGUGAGCCGAGAUCAUGCCACUGCACUCCAGCCUGCGUGACAGAGCAAGAUCCUGCCCCUCCCCUCCAUGAAGAAUGCAUGGAUGCAUGGAGCUAAGCAUGGUGGCUGAUGCCUGUAAUCCCAGCACUUUGGAAGGUUGAGGCAGCAGGGUCUCUUGAAGCCAGGAGUUCAAAACCAAUCUGGGCAACAUAGAUCCAGUUUCUAAAAAUAAAAUAAAAUAUUAGCAGUGCAUGUGUAGUCCCAACUUCUUAGGAGACUGAGGUGGGAGGAUUAAGUCCAGGUGUUUGAGCUGCAGUGAGCUAUGAUCAUGCCACUGCACUCCAGACUGGGUGACAGAAUAAGACCAUGUUUCUAAAAAUUAAAAAAAACCUUGAAGUUAAAUGUUCAGCUUGAUUUUUACUUUUGAGCAUUGUACAAUUCCCACAGAGUACAUUUACUAAUACAACUGCCAGGUGGAGCCCCUUCUUUUUUCUCAGUAAACUGUUCUCUCCCAAGUAGCUGGGACUACAGAGCAAUGCCAAUAUGCCCAGUUAAUUUUAUUGUUUUGUUUGUUUGCUUGCUUUUGAGACAGAGUCUCCCUCUAUCAUCCAGGCUGGAGUGCAGCAGUGCGAUCUCACUGCAACCUCCACCUCCUGGGUUUAAGCAAUUCUCCACCUCAGCCUCCUGAAUAGCUGGGAUUACAGGAAUGCACCACCACGCCCAGCUAAUUUUUUGUAUUUUUAGUAGAGAUGGGGUUUUACCAUCUUGGCCAGGCUGGUCUUGAACUCCUGACCUCAUGAUCCAUCUGCCUUGGCCUCCCAAAGAGCUGGAAUUACAGGCUUGAGCCACCGUGCCUGGCCUAAUUUUGUAUUUUUAGUAGAGACGGGUUUUCUCCAUGUUGGUCAGACCAGUCUUGAAUUCCCGACCUCAGGUGAUCCACCUACCUUGGCCUCCCAAAGUGCUGGGAUUACAGGCUCAAAUCAUUUUUAAGUGUACUGUUUUAUGGCAUUAAGUAUAUUCAUUGCUUUGUAACCAUCACUACCAUCCUCUCCAGAACCUCUUUCAUCUUCCAAACUGAAACUUCAUGCCCAUUAAACAAUAACUCUUCACCCUCUUCCCAGUGGCAACCAUUCUACUUUCUGUCCCUAUGAAUCUGAUUACCCUCAGUACCUAAUAUAAGUGGAAUUGAACAGUAUUUGUCCUUAUUUCUCUUAGCAUAAUGUCUUCAAGAUCCAUUCAUGUUACAGUCAGAAUUUUCUUCUUUUGAGGCUGAUUUUCCUUUCUCUGUGUAUACCACGUUUUGUCAUUCACUCAACAGUUGAUGAACAUUAGGGUUGCUUCCACUUUUGGCUGUUGUAAAUAACACUGUCAUGUAUAUGGGUGUAUAAAUAUCUGUCUGAGCUCCUGCCUUCAGUUCUUUUGGGUGUAUACCCAGAAGUAGAAUCAUGGAAUUGUAUGGUAAUUCUGUCUUUAGUUUUUUGAGGAACCACCAUACUGUUCGCCACAGUAGCUGCACCAUUUUAUAUUAUACCAACAGUGCACAAGAGUUCCAGUUUCUCCACAUUCUUGACAACAAUUAUUAUUUUCUAUUUGUUUGUGUAUUUCUUUCUUUUUAAAAAAAUAUCUAAAAUGUGUUUGUUGGGAUAGUUUCCCACUCAUCUUGAUUCAGGGUGCUUUUAGUGCUGCUUCCUCCUGAAGAAGAAGCAUCCUUCUGUCAGCCUUGGUUUUCCUCCUGUAGGCUGUCAGAGAAUGGUAGAGGAGUGAUAUGGUUUGGCUAUGUCCCUAUCCAAAUCUCACCUUGAAUUGUAGUUCCCAUAAUCCCCAUGUGUUACAGGAGGGACCUUGUUGGAGGUAAUUGAAUCAUGGAGGUGGUUACCCUCAUGCUGUUCUUGUGAUAGUACUCAUUAGAUCUGAUGGUUUUAUAAGGGGCUUUCUCACCCAUCUUUGCUUGGCACUGCUCCUUCCUUAUACCAUGUGAAGAAGGACAUGUUAGCUUCCCCUUCCACCAUGACUGUAAAUUUCUUGAGGCCUCUCUAGCCCUGUGGAACUGUGAGUCAAUUAGACCUCUUCUCUUUAUAAAUUUCCCAGUCUCUGGCUGGGAACUGUGGCUCACGCCUGUAAUUUCAGCACUUUGGGAGGCCAAGGUGAGUGGAUCACUUGAGGUCAGGAGUUCAAGAUCAGCUUGGCCAACAUGGUAAAACUCCAUCUCUACUAAUAGUACAAUAAUUAGCCAGGUGUGGUGGUGCACACCUGUAAUCCCAGCUACUAGGGAGGCUGAGGCACAAGAAUCACUUGAACCUGGGAGGCAGAGGUUGCCGUGAGCUGAGAUUGUGCCACUGCAUUCCAGCCUGGACAACAGAGUGAAACUGUGUCUCAAAAUGAAUUCAUGAAUGAAUGAAUUAAUUAAAUAUAAUAAAAAUAAAUUACCCAGUCUCAGGUAUUUUUUCACAGCAGCAUGAGAAUGGAUUAAUACAAUAAAUUGAUACCACAGAGAGGGGGUUGCUGCUGUAAAGAUACCCAAAAAUGUGGAAAUGACUUUGGAACUGGGUUUCAGGCAGAGACUGGAACAGUUUGGAGGGCUCAGAAGAGGACAGGAAGAUGUGGGAAAGUUUGGAACUUCCUAGAGACUUGUUAUAAGUAUUUGACCCAAAUGCUGAUGGUGAUAAGGACAAUAAAGUCCAGGCUGAAGUGAUCUCAGAUGAAGAUGAUGAACUGGUUGGGAACUGGAGUAAAAGUCACUCUUGCUAUGCAACAAGACUUGAGAGAGAUGAUUUAGGGUAUCUGGUGGAAGAAAUGUCUAAGCAGCAAAACAUUCAAGAGGAAACAGAGCAUAAAAGUUUGAAAAAUUUGCAGCCUGAUGAUGCAAUAGAAAAGAAAACCCUAUUUGCUGGGGAGAAAUUCAAGCACACUGAAGAAAUUUGCAUAAGUAACAAGGAACUGAAUGUUAAUCACCAAGAUAAUGGAGAAAAUAUCUCCAGGACAUGUUAGAAACCUUCACAGCAGCCCCUCCCAUCACAGGCCCUGAGGCCUAGGAGGCAAAAAUGGUUUCCUUGGCUGGGUCCAGGGACCUCUUGCUGUGUGCAGCCUUGGGACUUGGUGCCUUACGUCCCAGCCACUCCAUCCAUGGCUACAAGGGGCAAAUGGCUCGGGCCAUUGCUUCAAGGGGUGUAAGCCCCAAGCCUUGGAAGCAUCCAUAUGGUGUUGGGCCUGCAGAUGUGCAGAAGUCAAGAAUUGAAGUUUGGGAACCUCUGCCUACAUUUCAAAGGAUGUAUGGAAAUGCCUGGAUGUCCAGAUAGAAGUCUGAUUCAGGGGCAGAGGCUUCAUGGAGAACCUCUGCUAGGGCAAUGAUAUGGUUUGGCUGUGUCCUCACCCAAAUUUUGUCUUGAAUACCCACGUAUUGUAGGACAGACCUGGUGAGAGGUAAUUGAACCAUGGGGCACUGUUCUUGUGAUAGUGAAUGAGUCUCACAAGAUCUGAGGGGUUAAAAAUAGAAGUUUCUCUGAACAAGCAAUGUCUCUCUUUGCCUGCCACCAUCCAUGUAAGAUGUGACUUGCUCCUCCUUGCCUUCUGCCAUGAUUGUGAAGCUUCCACAGCCACAUGGAACUGUGAGUUCACCAUUGAACCUCUUUCCUUUGUAAAUUGCCCAGUCUUAGAUAUGUCUUUAUCAGCAUUGUGAAAAUGGACUAAUACAGGCAGUGUGGAAGAGAUAUGUGGGGUUGGAGCCCCAACACUGAGUCCCCAGUGGGGCACUGCCUAGUGGAGUUAUGAGAAGAGGUCCACCAUCCUCUAGACCCCAUAAUGGUAGAUCCACCGACAGCUUGCCCCAUGCGCCUGGAAAAGCCAUAGACACUAAACACCAGCCAUGAAAGCAGCUGGGAGGGUGGCUGUACCUAGCAAAGCCACAGUAAAAGAGCUGCCCAGGGCCAUGGGAAUCUACCUCUUCCAUCAGGGUGACUUGGAUGUGAGACAUGAAGUCAAAGGAGAUCAUCUUGGAACUUUAAGGUUUAAUGACUGCCUUGUCGGAUUUCAUGCAUGCAUGGGGCCUGUAGCCCCUUUGUUUUGAUCAAGUUGUCCCAUUUGGAAUGGGUGUAUUUGUCCAAUGUCUAUACCCCCAUUGAAUAUAGGAAGUAACUAAUUUGCUUUUGAUUUUACAGGCUCAUAAGCAGAAGGGUCUUGCCUUGCCUCAGAUAAGACUUUGGAGUUGGACUUUUGGGUUAAUGCUGGAAUAAGUUAAGACUCUGAAGGACAGUUGGAAGGGCAUGAUUAUGUUUUGAAAUGUGAGGAUAUGAGAUUUGGGAGGGGUCAGGAGAGGAAUCAUGUGGUUUGGCUGUGUCCUCACCAAAAUCUCAUCCUGAAUUGCAGUUCCCAUAAUCCCCAUAUGUCAUGGGAGGAACCAAGUGGGAGGCAAUUGAAUCACGAGGGCAGUCACAUCCAUGCUGUUCUCAUGAUGGUGAGUUCUCACAAGAUCUGAUGGUUUUAUAAGGGCCUUCCCCCCCUCACUCGGCACUUCUUGCUGCUGCCAUGUGAAGAAUGAUGUGUUUGCUUCUCCUUCUGCCACAACUGAAAGCUUCCUGAGGCCUCCCAAGCCCUGCAGAACUAUGAGUCUAUUAAACCUCCUUUAUAAAUUACCCAGUCUCAGGUGUUUCUCAUUGAGAACAGACUAAUACAAGCACACCACUACUGUGUGUGCAUAGCUAAUGAGCAUGGUGAUUAUAGCAUACAGGGCAUUUCACAUCCCUGAAGUAGCAACUGGGGCUCUGUACCAGGCACCUCUUCUUGUAUUUCCUCUUUUCCUCAUCUGGAGAGGGAUAAAGGAGAUUUUUGCAAGAGCUAUGUUCACAUGGGGAGGUCAGAACCACCAGAAAGACUUUUUUUUUUUUUUUUUUCAAAUAAUGGCCAUUCUAAUCGGGGCAAAGUGGUAUCUCAUCAUGCUUUUGAUUUGCUUUUCCCUAGUGACUAGUGAUGGUGAGCAUCUUUUCAUGUACUUAUUAGCCAUUUAUAUAUUUCUUUAAAGAAAUGUCUAUUCAAGUCCUUUGCCUACUUUUUAAUCAUUUUUUUGUUGUUAAGCUGUAGGAAUUCUUUAUAUAUUCUGGACAUUAACCCAUUAUCAAAUAUAAAAUUUUCUCCCAUUCUGUGGGUUGUCUUUUAACUCUCUUGAAAGUGUCUAGACUGGGCACAGUGGCUCACACCUGUAAUCCUAGCACUUUGGGAGGCCAAGGCAGGUAGAUCACUUGAGCCUAUGUGUUCGAGACCAGCCAGGGCAAUAUAGCAAAACCCCCUCCCUUCUAAAAAGUACAAAAAAUUAUCUGGGCAUGGCGGUGGGUGCCCAUAGUUCCAGCUACUCGGGAGGCUGAGGUAAGAGGAUCACCUGAGCUUGGGAAGUCCAGGCUGCAGUGAGGUGAGAUGGUGCCACUGCAUUCCAGCCUGGGCAAUGGGAGUAAGACCCUGUCUUGAAAAAAAGAAGAUAAAAAAGUAAAAAGUAUGCUCCUUUUUUGUUUGUUUUUUUGAAAUAGGGUCUUGCUUUGUUGCCCAGGCUGGAAUGCAAGUGGCAUGAUCAUGACUCACUGCAACCUCGACUUCCUGAGCUCAAGAAAUCCUCCUGCUUCAGCCUCUGGAAUAGCUGGGACUAUAGGUAUGCACCACCACACUGGGUCCAAAGUGUCCUCCUUUGGUGCAUAAAAGUUUUUUAUUUUCUUUUUUAAAUUUUGAUGAAAUUCAAUUUAUCUAGUUUUUGUUUUGUUGCCUGUGCUUUUAUCAUAUCCAAGAAAUCACUGCCACAGCCAAUGUCAUGAAGCUUUCCCCUAUGUUAUCUUCUAAGAGUUUUACAGUUUUAGCUCUUUGUGUCUUUGGUAAAGUUUGUAUAGGGUGUAAGGUAAGGGUCCAAUGUUAUUCUUUUGCAUGUGGCUAUCCAGUUUCCCUGGCACCAUUUAUUAAAAAGACUGUCCUUUCCCCAUUGAAUGGUCUUGACACCUUUGUCAAAAACAUAUAUGUGAGGGUUUAUUUCAGGGCUUUCUACUAUAUUCCAUUGAUCUGAGUGUCUGUCUUUAUGUCAGGACCACACUGUUUUGAUUACUGUAAUUUUGUUGAGGAUAGAGUUUUAAAUCAGAAGUCCCAGCAAGUUCAAAGGAUUCUAGCAGGAGUUGGCAAACUUUUUUUGGUAAAGGGCCAGAUAGUGAAUAUUUUGGGCUUCACAGGCUAUAUUGUAUGGGCUGUGUCACACCUUCUCUACUCUGCUGUUGUACCACUAAAGCAGCUGUCAACAAUGCAUAAACAAGUGGGUAUGGCUGUGUUUCAAUAAAGCUUACACAUAAAAACAGUUGGCAGGAAGGAUUUGUCACAAAGGCAGUAGUUUGCCAACCCCUACACUAGAAGUCACAGUUUGGCAUUUCCAAAGGCUUAGUGGAAGGCAAUGUGCUAUGAACAGUGGGAAGAAUGAAGCAUGAUGAGGUUGGAGAGGGGCAGGGGCCAGAUUACAGAGUGUUGGAGACCACAGCAGAAUUUCAUCUAUUCUUUACCCAUUUAUUCACCAAACAGCUAUCUAGGACCUACUAUGAGCCAUGGCUGGGGCUCCACAGGAGGUAGACUCUAUCUUAGUUCUCACAGGGCUUCAAUGUAGAUAGGAAGCAUAAGCUAAGUGUUUUAACAUGGUAUCAUAUUUCCCUUCUGAAUCAUGACAGGCUCCUGAUGGGAUCUCUGCUCAGUGCUUUACCCUACUGCUUUAGUGUAUUAGUCCGUUCUCACACUGCUUCUAAAGACAUACCCGAGACUGGGCAAUUUAUAAAGGAAAAGAGGUUUAAUGGACUCACAGUUCCACAUGGCUGGGGAAUCCACAUGUCUUUCUCAAUCAUGGCGAAAGGAAAAAGGCACAUCUUACAUGGUGACAGGGAAGAGAGAAAAAAAGAGCCAAGUGAAAGGGGUGUGGGCGGGGACACAGGCAAACAAUAUCACUUAGUUUAAGUCUUACUAUUUUUCUCUAGGAUUAUUGCAAUAGUCUAUUCAAACAGGUUUCUGCCUCUAGCCUCACCUGCUUCCUACCUGGCAUCUAUGCUACAGCAAGAGACAUUUCUAAAAUGCAAUUCUGAUUGCACUCCUCAGCUUGGAGCUGUGUUUAUGGCUUUUCAUCACUGUCAGAGUCAAGUCUAAUCUGCCAGAAUGAUGUGGAAAGCCCCACAUAACCAGACUAGCUGACAGCCCAAAACAACUAGUCCCUCACACGCACACACACAAGAACAUGUUUGAUCAUGAUUAAACCUGGAGAAACACCGACAUCAAAGAAGAACAUUUGAGAUCUGUGUGAGUUCUUGUUGUUGGUCUUUCUAUUGUAAAGCAUAAUUAUUGAGCAAAACUUAGUGAUAAUCAUAGCAAACUCACAUAGAGAUACUAUGUCCUACAUGCUAACUCAUUUAAUCCUCACAACUACUCUAUGGAGUAGGUAGUAUUACUAUUCCCAUUUUACAAAUUAGGCAACUGAGGCAUAGGAAGACUAACUUUCCCCGGGAUCUCAUAGCUUGCACAUGUGAUAGCAUUAAUAUUCCAACCCAGGAAUUCUGGCAUGACAAUCUGUUAUUAAGCACACUAACAUGCUCCUUUUAGCAGCAUAUAUAUUAAAAUUAGAAUGAUACAGGGAAGAUUAGCUUGGCCUCUGUGCAAGGGCGAUAUGCAAGUUCAUGGAGCAUUUCACAUUUGAAAAGAGAAACCACUGCUCAAGCCUGCAAUCCCAGGACUUCAGGAGAUUGAGCUGGGACAAUCAUUUGAGCCCAGGAGUUUGAGACCAGCUUGGGCAAAAUAGCAAGACCCAGCCUCUACAAAAAAAUUUAAAAAUUCGCUCUGUGUGGUGGCAUGUGCCUGUGGUCCCCGCUACUCCAGAGGUUGAUGUGGAAGCCUUGAGGUAGAGGCUGCAGUGAGCCGUGUUCACACCACUGUUGCCCAGCCUGGGCAACAGAGCAAGACCCUGUCUCAAAAAAAAAUUUAAAUAAAAAUAAAUAAAUAAUACACAUAUGCAAAAAUACACUAAGCCCCCCUCACUUAACCAUAAAUGUAUUCUUUUAAAAUAUUGACUAAAGUUGUGACUUUUGCUUGAUAGUGUGAUCUCUGAGUGGUAGCACCAGAAUCACCUGGGAGCUUAUUAGAAUGCCAGUUCCCAUGCCUGGGGACUGACCCAGGGAAGCAGAAUCUCUGGAGUUGGAGCCCGGGGAUUUGAGUUUCAGCAUGCUCCCCAGGUGACUUCUAAGCCUGAGAAAGUUUGAGAAAUGCUACUCUUAAACAUUUGUUUCCUGAGGAGUAAAGGCCUUAAUGGAGAUAAAGCUUAAGGCAAACACAUGAGUAAUUUUAACCAAAAAAAAAAGUAGAAAUAGGAUUAUUUUUAAUGCAAAGAUUUCAAACUAUGAAAGGAAACAAAUGCUUGCACAGAACAAGAGGUCAUCAGAGGUCUUGAGAAGAUGUUGAGGCCAGAAAAGCACAGGAUACACCUGAAUUCGGAGCAAACCAGUAUAAGUUUGAAUUCCAGCACACCCACAGACCAGCUGUGCACCUUUGACAAAUUGCUUCACUGGAUCCUUUGUUUCUCCAUUCAGAGCUUGAAGUAACAUUCUCCUUGACCCAUAUACUCCAGGAAGGUUGCGAAAAAUCAAGGGGGAUCAUGUAUGGGACAGUGCUUUGUACAGCUGGAUAGUGUGGUAAUCAGGUUUCAUUUCUGCUGUAAUACUUCACAAAAUGAUAUAUGCACUUUCCCUUCUCCUGUUCAGGAAGCAGAUGGGAUUUUGAGUCUUGUAGUUCCCUAGGGAACUCUGUUUUCUAUAGUAUCAGCUGCAGGAGUAGACAGCUAGACUGAAGGAUUACUCCAGGCUUGAAAAGAGAGAGAAAUGGCCUCAUCCAAGAGCAUGGGGCCAGAGAGUUGGCAGAUGAUGGUAGAAACCAGACUAUAUGUCUUUAAACUCAUCUUCAGCCUUACAAUUUCUACCCUCAAAAAGUUUAAUUCAGACCUGGGAUAGCUUAGGCUGAUAUUCAGCCCCAUACAAGCUUACGGCAUACCCUCCGACUGCUGUUGGAUGGGCUGAGUAUGUUAGCUUGUAUUCUGAUCAGUCGGUGCUCACGCUACAAGGGUUAUGGUUUUUCACAACACCUCUAGUGAUAGACCAUAAUAGAAGGGAAUGUUAUCUGAAACUUAGUUCAAACAGAAGAGAUAUCCAUCUGUCUGGCAAUGGUUCCACGGACUCAUGCCAGGCUUCACCCAGGCCUGCACACUCGUCUGACCACUACUUGCAUAGCCCUUCCUUGAUUUAGUGACAAACGGCUUCAGCAUGUUCACUAGAACAACAAAAUUGGCUGGACACGGUGGCUCACACCUAUAAUCCCAGCACUUUGGGAGGCUGAGACCGGAGGAUCGCAUGAGCCCAGGAAUUCAAAACCAGCUUGGGGAACAUAAUGAGAUUCCUAUUUCUAUUAAAAAAAAAAAAAAAGAGAACAACACAAUUUACAACUUACCUACUCUGUCUCCAACACAUCUUUCCAACUAAGAAAAAUACAAGCUACUACUCUAGGAGAACUCCCACGCAUGUGUGGGGCAGACUAUUUCCAGGCUAGGGUUUUUUUUAUUCAUUUUGUGAAGCUGUGUCUCCUGUCAACUCCUGGCUACCAUUGUUUUUUUUCUCCCAUUGCUAUUUCUCCCCCACCAACUGGGGACAUAAUAGGUAUAUUUCCUUUCUAUUCUCUUUUUUCCUCUUGGCUUAUUUCUUCUAGGUUAAAGGCAACUUUCAGAUAAAUGUAUAUUGUUUAGGACAGAGAACAUACCGAAUUUAAAGAACACUACCAGGCUUCUUACAGGAGGCUAAAAUAUAUUCUAUUCCCUAAGCAAACUGAUUUUCAACAAUGUAAUAGAUUCAUAUACCUUAUAACCUUCAAUUCUGAAUGGUAGGAGGAAGAAAUCAGCUCUUUUUCUAGCAUGCAUUAUUAUUAUCAUUAUUACUUUUGGAGAAGGAGUUUCGCUCUUGUCGCCCAGGCUGGAGUGCAAUGGUGCGAUCGUGGCUCACUGCAAACUCUGCCUCCCAGGUUCAAGCAAUUCUCCUGCCUCAGCCUCCCCAGUAGCUGGGAUUACAUGCAUGCCACCACGCCCAGCUAAGUUUUAUAUUUUUAGUAGAGCCAAGCUUUCACCAUGUUGGCUAGACUUGUCUUGAAUUCCUGACCUCAGGUGAUCCACCCACCUCGACCUCCCAAAGUGCUGGGGUUACAAGCGUGAGCCACUGCACCCAGCCAUAUUUUUAAUUAAAGCUGAAAUGUUCAAAGUGACCACCAGCCACACCAGGGGAGGCGUUAUGUAGACAGUUAUCCAAAAAUUACAAAAUGAUUUCUGGCUCUGCUCCAAGUGACCUAUAUAAUCUAAGGAGAAGCCAAACAUCCUCUUUCACUUGGGGGUAAACUGGCCUACCACACCUAUGAUCUGCUUAACAGAAACCCCAAAACAGAGAUAGCCAUCAAGGUAGGUACAACCAGGGAAGGGAUGUUGUCUGUCUUCUCAGGUGCUCAACAUAAAUCAUGUGUUCAGCCAAAUACCUUCAUCCUGCCUACAAUGCUCAACCCCCCCAGAAAAGCAAAAAACCUACAAAGUUGGAGCCCUUUAUACUCAAAGUGUGGUCCACAGAGGUCAGUUGAGGCAUGCAGAAUCAGAGGCCCACCCAGGCCCCCAGAGUUCUGCAGAGCCUGUGUUUUAGCAAGAUCUCCAGGUGAUUCCUAUACAUGUUAAUGUAUGAAAAGUACUGAUUUAAGUGACACAUCUGUUAAAACACAUAUCAAAAAAGAAACAAGAUUUUCUACUAGGUAUGAAGAUUGGAAAAAACGAGACAACUCACCUCAAUUAUGAUGUAUGAUGCUGAAAGCAAAGCAGUCCAAAUCUCAGUGCAGAAAAAGUGGUAAUACAGAGAUUUCUACACUUAAGAGUUUUCCUAGAGAGACUUCAUCCAAGGCCCACGCCUAAUAAACAGACGGAUAUUAGUCCAGAAACUUUCCUUCCUGCCUGCCUGCUAUCAGGGCAGGAGAAAGAAUCAGAGAGGAAACUUGGCAGCCCCCAAAGUAGAUCCUGCAGCUGCUAGAGAGCAUUGAGGCUUUCCGGGUCAACUAGCCUUGAGGAAAUGUCCAGAGUGAAAUUAACAGCUCUACUAACUCCUUGAGUUCCUUUUUUCUCUGCUGCUCACUGAUUAUUAACCACAUUUUUUUCCCGAUCACUGGGAUUCAGACGACCUAAUGCUUCCAGUCAGCAUGGGAUCCUCUUCUGGCAUUCCCAGCAAGGGGAUAGAAGGAGGGGGAAAGUCCCAUGUCAGAGAGAUAUUUUUAUAUCUUUGUCUUUAUGCCACAGAAUUCUGAUGACAGCAUCUCCAACACAAACAGCAACUUUAUUUUCAAAACGGAAGUAUCAAAACCAAUUCUAGCAAAUGGCUUUGCUCUGUGUGUAAACUUCCUGUGCUCUGUUAACCCUGAUGUAACUGAGGGUCUCCUCUCACAGGCCCUGCCUUCUAGCACACAUAAAGAAACAACCAAGCAGGACUAUGACACAUAUUUAAAAAGGAGACGAAUUAAACCAAAACAAAGGCAGAGUAAGAUUUCAGUGCAAAGGCCCAGCAGAGUUUUAAAGAGGACCCAGAAGGCCAUAUAAAAUUGAUCUCUCUCUCUCUCUCUCUCUCUCUCUCUCUGUGUGUGUGUGUGUGUGUGUGUGUGUGUGUAUUUUAAAUAGAGACAGGAUCUUGUUAUGUUGGCCAGGGUGGUCUCAAACUCGUGGCCUCAAGCAAUCCUCCCACUUCAGCCUCCCAAAGUGCUGGGAUCACAGGCAUGAGCCACCAAACCUGGCUUUUUUUUUUUUUUUUUUUUUUUUCCUGAGACAGGAUCUCACUUUGUCACCCACUCUGAAGUUAAUAGGCAUUUUAUAUUCCAAAAACAUGAUAGAUGUCAAAGGAAAAAAUAUGACUUUACUAAGCACUUCUAAUUCCACUGUUUACAGACCCUGAAAAGCUUCUUAAUCCAAACCUUCCCCAGGCCACUGCACUACAGCCUGGACAACAGAGUAGGACUCCAUCUCAAAAAACAGAUAUAAUUUCAAACACACACUUGGAAAUUCACAUUUUAACAGCAAACUUACAUGCAGAUAAAGAGAAGUACACUUUUAUUCUCCUAAGUUACACAGCAAGCUGAAAUGGCGAAUAUUUUAAUAUUCAUUUUAGAUUUAUUCUUAUUUCUAAGUCUCAGAAAAAAAGGAAAAAGGCGACAUAAAACUCAAGCUAUGUCUAUAGCAGUAUCAGUCAAUGUUUUCUACAAAUAAAUUAUUCAAUUGCUUACUCUAUAAGUGAUACACACAUACUAUAAUACUAUAUACAAAACACAAAAUAGAAUUAGCGAUAACAAAUGAAAACUUUAUACAAAAUACUUGAUUCCAUCAGUAUUUAACUUCUGACCAGAAGACUCUUAGCCUGUACAUUCUUUUGUGAUAUUAAGGAAUAAUCACAUUUGUAUAGUAUUCUUAACUGCAGAAAAAUAGGAAUGAACAGAGAGGAGGGCUGAUGAGACAGUUGAAAUACACAUUUAAAAAUAUGUAUACAAUUUAGUAAUGUCAUAUCAUCUGAAUUAAUAUCUCUUGUUUUUGAGAUGGAGUUUUGUUCUCGUUGCCCAGGCUGGAGUGCAAUGGUGCGAUCUCAGCUCACUGCAACCUCCGCCUCCAGCGUUCAAGCAAUCCUCCUGCCUCAGCCUCCUAAGUAGCUGGGAUUACAGAUAUGCACCACCAUGUGUGACUAAUGCAUUUUUGUUAUUUUUAAAUGGAUAAUUAAAUUAUUUUUGACUAUAGUCACCUUGUUGUGCUAGCAAAUACUAGGUCUUAGUUAUUCUUUCUAAUUAUUUUUGUAUCCAUGAACCAUCCCACUUCCCCCACCUCCCCAGUACCUUUCCCAGCCUCUGGUCACUAUUCUUCCACUUUCUGUGACUUCAAUUGUUUUAAUUUUUAGCUCCCACAAAUAAGUAAGAACAUGCUAUGUUUAUCUUUCUGUGCUUGGCUUGUUUCACUUAACAAAAUUACCUUCAGUUCCAUCUAUAUUGUUGCAAAUGACAGGAUCUCAUUCUUUUUAUAUCUGAAUAGUACUCCACUAUAUGUAUAUGUACCACAUUUUCUUUAUCCAUUUGUCUGUGGAUGGAUACUUGGGUUGCUUCUAUAUCUUGGGUAUUGAGAAUACAGCUGCAACAAAUGCAGCAAUGCAGAUAUCUCUUCAAUAUACUGAUUUCUUUUCGAUGUAUACCUAGGAGUGGGAUUGCUGGAUCAUACGGUAGCUCUAUUUUCAGUUUUUUGAGGAACCUCCAAACUGUCCUCCAUAGUGGAGGUAGUAAUUUAUGUUCCCAUCCAACAGUGCACGAGGGCUUUCUUUUCUCCGCAUCCUCACCAGCAUUUGUUAUUGCCUGUCUUUUAGAUAAAAGCCGAUUUAACUGUGGUGAGAUGAUAUCUCAUUGUAGUUUUGAUUUGCAUUUCUCUGAUAAUCAGUGAUGUUGAGCACCUUUUCACAUACCUGUUUGCCAUUUGUAUGUCUUUUUUUUUUUUUGAGACAGAGUUUCACUCUUGUUACCCAGGCUGGAGUGCAAUGGUGCGAACUCAGCUCACCGCAACCUCCAACUCCUGGGUUCAGGCAAUUCUCCUGCCUCAGCCUCCUGAGUAGCUGGGAUUACAGGCAUGCACCACCAUGCCCAGACUCUUCAGGCAGAAGCUCUGGGUCACCUGUUCAGUCACUGCGUGGGCUGCUUCAUUGGGAUCGUGGCACUGAUUGACAAAGUCACAAAUCUCUUGACUAUUCACCAUGAAGUUAAUUCCAUCUGUGGUGAGGACCAGGAAGCUGUCAUCAGCAUGAUGUAACUGCAAUCAGAACCAAAUGCCUAUGAUUAUUAGCUAGACUCUGACUUAGAAUAAUCUUGCUAAUUCGAAUAUUUUUAUCUGUUUUGCUAAGUGGUCAUCUGUGUAAGAGCUUGUAAGCUGAUAUGGUUUGGCCCUGUCCCCACCCAAACCUCAUCUUAAAUUGUAGCUCCCAUAAUUCCCAUGUGUUGUGGGAGGGACCCAAUGGGAGGUAACUCAAUCAUGGUGGUGGGGUCUUUCCCAUGUCAUUCUUAUAACAGUGAAGAAGUCUCAUGAGAUCUGAUGGUUUGUAAAGGGGAGUUCCCCUGCACAUGCUCUCUUUGCCUGCAACCAUGUAAGACAUGACUUUGCUCCUCUUUCACCUUCCACCAUGAUUGUGAGGCCUCCCCAGCCUUGUGGAACUGUGAGCCCAUUAAACCUCCUUGCUUUUAAAUUA